UGGGGAAUAUUGGACAAUGGGCGAAAGCCUGAUCCAGCCAUGCCGCGUGUGUGAAGAAGGUCUUCGGAUUGUAAAGCACUUUAAGUUGGGAGGAAGGGCAGUAAGCGAAUACCUUGCUGUUUUGACGUUACCGACAGAAUAAGCACCGGCUAACUCUGUGCCAGCAGCCGCGGUAAUACAGAGGGUGCAAGCGUUAAUCGGAAUUACUGGGCGUAAAGCGUGCGUAGGUGGUUCGUUAAGUUGAAUGUGAAAGCCCCGGGCUCAACCUGGGAACUGCGUCCAAAACUGGGGAGCGAGAGUAGGGCAGAGGGUGGUGGAAUUUCCUGUGUAGCGGUGAAAUGCGUAGAUAUAGGAAGGAACACCAGUGGCGAAGGCGACCACCUGGGCUCAUACUGACACUGAGGUGCGAAAGCGUGGGGAGCAAACAGG
rnacentral:rRNA from 1 species